rnacentral:rRNA from 1 species
AUUGAACGCUGGCGGCAUGCUUUACACAUGCAAGUCGAACGGUAACAGGGUGCUCGCACCGCUGACGAGUGGCGAACGGGUGAGUAAUGCGUCGGAACGUGCCGAGUAGUGGGGGAUAACGCAGCGAAAGUUGUGCUAAUACCGCAUACGUACUGAGGUAGAAAGUGGGGGACCUUCGGGCCUCACGCUAUUCGAGCGGCCGACGUCUGAUUAGCUAGUAGGUGAGGUAAGAGCUCACCUAGGCGACGAUCAGUAGCGGGUCUGAGAGGAUGAUCCGCCACACUGGGACUGAGACACGGCCCAGACUCCUACGGGAGGCAGCAGUGGGGAAUUUUGGACAAUGGGCGCAAGCCUGAUCCAGCCAUGCCGCGUGUCUGAAGAAGGCCUUCGGGUUGUAAAGGACUUUUGUCAGGGAGGAAAUCCUAGUGGCUAAUAACUGCUGGGGAUGACAGUACCUGAAGAAUAAGCACCGGCUAACUACGUGCCAGCAGCCGCAGUAACAC